rnacentral:rRNA from 1 species
CGCCCUUUAAUUGUGGGCUUGUACGAAUGGGUUAACGAGGGUUUAGCUGUCUCCUUUUUAUUACUGGAAAUUAAUUUUUAGGUGAAAAGGCCUAAAUAAAGUCACAGGACAAAAAGACCCCAUAGAGCUUUGUCUUACUAAUACCUAAUAAAAAAACUUAAUAGUAUUUUUUAUUUUGUUUUACAGGACUUAACUGGGGCGGUUGAGAAAGCUUACAUUCUUUCUUUUAUUUUUCGUUUAUUUAACUUAGUUUUCUGAUCCUAAUUUUUAGAUAAAAGAAAAGCUACCUUGGGGGUAACAGACUAAUUUUUUUUGAGAGUUCGUAUUGACAAAAAAGUUUGGCACCUCGAUGUUGGCUUAGGAGUCAUAGCUGUUUC